GUGCUUGCUUCAAGCAUAUAUACUAAAAUUGGAAUGAUACAAAGAAGAUUAGCAUGGUCCCUGCGCGAGGAUAACACGCAAAUUCGUGAAGUGUUCCAUAUUAAA